CCUCAGUCUUACAAAAGCUGGGUCACUGUCGUUCUUCUGUGUGUCGAUGACAGAGUCUGUAGACACCAAAACAAAAGCUGCUUAAGGGAACGUCUGAGUUUCUGACUGCCAGGGUGAACAACAGCUGCCUUUCUGAUAUGCUGGACCACAGACAGCCCCAGUGAGCCGAGUCCUCAGUCACCAGCAUGCAGAAGAGAACAAACCCUCUCUCACACUCCAUAAUCUGAGAAUCAUUCCUGGAACUGAAAGGCAAAUGUUGGAUGAGAGCAGAGGACAGACAGAAAGG